GUUCCAGGUAGGAGCUCCAACUUCCCGGAAAGGUCGUUCCCUUCCAGUGAUCUAUGGAGCCAGAUGAUGCUGGGAUGUAGCAUGAGGACCCUGCCAGAUGUGGCCAGUGACCUUGAGCUUCUCAGCUUCCAGAACUGUUAGCCAUCCAGCACUGAGAAGUGGCAGCUGGAAUGGAAGAAGGUGUCUACAACCUGACCCAGAGCUAGAGAUGUGCAGAUGUCAAGAAAAAAGAAAGUCUAUAAUAUGUCAAAAUAUACCCUACGGUCAUGUAUAUCUAAAAACAACAAAUUAAAAAAAUAUAUAUCUAAAA